rnacentral:rRNA from 1 species
UACGGAGGGGGCUAGCGUUGUUCGGAAUUACUGGGCGUAAAGCGCACGUAGGCGGCUGUUCAAGUCAGAGGUGAAAGCCCGGGGCUCAACUCCGGAAUUGCCUUUGAAACUGGACGGCUAGAACACGGGAGAGGUGAGUGGAAUUCCGAGUGGAGAGGUGAAAUUCGUAGAUAUUCGGAGGAACACCAGUGGCGAAGGCGGCUCACUGGACCGUUGUUGACGCUGAGGUGAGAAAGCGUGGGGAGCAAACAGG